UGAAGAACUGGUCAUUUUUUUUGAGUGCCCUCUUCUCAGUUUUGUUUAAACUUACACUCAGUAGAGUGUUGGGUUGUCUGCUGACAUGGAGUAGAACCUGGAUUCUGGCCAAAUAGGCCAGAAUCGGAAAGGUGAAGGUGAGUGUGAUAGUAGGUAAUCUCCUCACCCCAGCACAGGCCCUGGGAGAGAGGCAAAGCAGUUUGAUGGGAUCUGGAGGGGAGGGAGGUACCCUGGCCCUUGGUCUAGCAUCAGUGAGUCCUGCCCUUCCAAGCCCCUGGAGGCUAGUGGCAUUGCAUUGUGCCCCUUUUUGCCACCCUUCUCUGAUGUGAUUUUGAGCGAAGAGGAGUCAGUAAGCCCAUUGAGACCGGCUGCUCCCAAAGCCCGAGGACUCUAGCUGUGUGGGGAAGGGCUAGCAUUGGUCAGGACUCUGCUGACAGCACUGAGUAGGCAGGAAUGUAUUUGAGAUUUGGAAGUACUGUUAAUUUGGUGGAGUCAGGUGAAUGGAUAAGAGGCAGAUCGGCAGAAAGCAUCAGUGUGGUCCCGAGGCUCCCUCUGUUUUCCUUGCCAUGGAGUCCCCAGCGCCUUGUGCCUGUUUCCAUUUCCCUCUCUCUUUGAAAAGUAGAAAUCAGUGGUUUCUUGACUCCUAAACAGCCUCCUCACUAUAGAAGGAGCCUGAGCAGGUCAGAAGAACUAGAAAAGUCCUCAGAUACCCCCCUCUGUCCAGCCCCCUUUCCCAUACACAGAUAUCAAUGGAUGAGCAGGAAAAGAGGAGGCCUGGACUCACUGAAGUACUUGAAGAAGCACAAGUGUCAUAGAUGUGCCGCCCUUUGCCCUGGGUGUUCUAGAUCACACAGAACACGUUUCAGCUGGACUAAGAAUCAGACUAGCCAGGGGUUCUUCUGAACAGCUCAGGCCAGACCUCUGGGCUCCUCUGGGGGCCCUGGGACAUGAUGCCUUGCAGUUUCCAUUCCAUUGUCCCCAGGCCUCCUGACCUGGUGACAGAGAGUGCCCUGCAGAAGUGAGUCUAUUUUUCCCAAUUCCUCUUCAUGACCAGAAAAUGGCAGCUGGCCGGUUGGGGUCCUGUGGGAAAGGGCUAACCUGGGCUGUUAGGUAGACACUAGGUUUAAAGGUAGACAGGGAGAUGGCAUCAUCAGGGCAGGCCAGGCCCACUUCCUGUGACCCCAGACCUUGGCAGGCGGGUCGUGCUGAAACCAGGCAUCUCCCUCACACCUGGGGAAAGGUUUAGGGCAACAUGUUGCCUCUUCAUCCCAUUAACCCUAGAAAUCUUCUGGUUAGAGUGGCCCCUUACCCCAAAUCUGGCCUAGGUCUGAAGACUGCAGGAUAGUCAUGAUGGGCCCAUCCUAGAGCCUGGCUAGCUGGAAGACGCGGUAUGGCAGGGACAGGAGGGCGGCAGGAAGGGCUUUGUGGCCCUGCUGGGGCCAAAGGCAGUUUUCUGUGCUCCCUUUAGCCCCAGCCUGGCUGGCCAGGUCUCCUGUACUUCAGGGGACCAUGGGGCCGCCCAAGCCAGUCACCUUCCCCUUCCAAGCUCUCCCCCCAUGACUGUUGAUUUCUGGCGCGUGGAGGCAGAGUUGUGAAUCCACAAAUGCUGUAGCCCAUAUCUCGUAAUGUGUCUGUGUCCACUUAGAGCCUCACGACCUGGCUGUGUGUGUGCAUGUGUGUGUAGUAUAGUUUGUAGUUGACAAUAUGUGUAUAUAAUAGCUGGUGUAUUUAUAUGUGAGUGCAGAAUUAGUGCCCGUGGCGGUUUUCUGUAUUUUAAACCCAUUGAAUUGGUUAGUUUUAUUUUAGGGAAGUGGGAAAGGCGGAGUGGGGGGAAGUAUAGGAAGAAGGAUUCUUAGCAAAAUCAUUCUCUAGGACUAUUAGUCGCGAUCUCCCAGUGAGCCAUCACGAUGCCCUUUUCAAAUAAAUGUUAAUGUUGUCACCACA
rnacentral:lncRNA from 1 species